rnacentral:lncRNA from 1 species
CAGGUAGACUUCAGUAGAGCUUCUUUGUAGCCGGAUCCCAGACGAGCUUCUACAAUGGGACAGGACCCACCAGCCAGAUCGCUACUCCGAGCUCCCACGACAAUCGCUCCUCGAUCGAGCUUCUACAAUAAGCGGUCUCUUUUCAGCCUUCUGCAAGAACCAGACCUCGAUCGAACUUUCAUAGCGGAUGGAUAUCGGAUGAGCUUCUACGAUGGAUGGACUCUAGCAGCUGGAUUCUUACAACGAUC